AACGCACGAGACCUGCGGACCUGCGGAAGGAUCAUUAAUGAGAAACUGCCCCUCGCGGGUAGAUCUCCCACCCUUUGUAAACUUACCUUUGUUGCUUUGGCAGGCCCGUCUCCGGACCGCCGGCUUCGGCUGGCCAGUGCCUGCCAGAGGAUUCUAGAACUCUGUCUGUCAGUGUUGUCUGAGUCUAUAUACAAUCGUUAAAACUUUCAACAAUGGAUCUCUAGAUCGGAAGAGCACACG
rnacentral:misc_RNA from 1 species